UACGGAGGAUGCAAGCGUUAUCCGGAAUCAUUGGGUUUAAAGGGUCCGUAGGCGGUUUGGUAAGUCCGUGGUGAAAGCCCAUCGCUCAACGGUGGAACGGCCAUUGAUACUGCCAGACUUGAAUUAUUAGGAAGUAACUAGAAUAUGUAGUGUAGCGGUGAAAUGCGUAGAGAUGACAUAGAACACCUAUUGCGAAGGCAGCUUACUGCGCAGAUAUUGACGCUCAUGCACGAAAGCGUGGGGAGCAAACAGG
rnacentral:rRNA from 1 species